rnacentral:rRNA from 1 species
UUUAUGGAGAGUUUGAUCCUGGCUCAGGAUGAACGCUGGCGGCGUGCCUAAUACAUGCAAGUCGAGCGAACGGACGAGAAGCUUGCUUCUCUGAUGUUAGCGGCGGACGGGUGAGUAACACGUGGAUAACCUACCUAUAAGACUGGGAUAACUUCGGGAAACCGGAGCUAAUACCGGAUAAUAUUUUGAACCGCAUGGUUCAAAAGUGAAAGACGGUCUUGCUGUCACUUAUAGAUGGAUCCGCGCUGCAUUAGCUAGUUGGUAAGGUAACGGCUUACCAAGGCAACGAUGCAUAGCCGACCUGAGAGGGUGAUCGGCCACACUGGAACUGAGACACGGUCCAGACUCCUACGGGAGGCAGCAGUAGGGAAUCUUCCGCAAUGGGCGAAAGCCUGACGGAGCAACGCCGCGUGAGUGAUGAAGGUCUUCGGAUCGUAAAACUCUGUUAUUAGGGAAGAACAUAUGUGUAAGUAACUGUGCACAUCUUGACGGUACCUAAUCAGAAAGCCACGGCUAACUACGUGCCAGCAGCCGCGGUAAUACGUAGGUGGCAAGCGUUAUCCGGAA